CAGGAUGAACGCUAGCUACAGGCUUAACACAUGCAAGUCGAGGGGCAGCAUGGUCUUAGCUUGCUAAGGCCGAUGGCGACCGGCGCACGGGUGAGUAACACGUAUCCAACCUGCCGUCUACUCUUGGACAGCCUUCUGAAAGGAAGAUUAAUACAAGAUGGCAUCAUGAGUCCGCAUGUUCACAUGAUUAAAGGUAUUCCGGUAGACGAUGGGGAUGCGUUCCAUUAGAUAGUAGGCGGGGUAACGGCCCACCUAGUCUUCGAUGGAUAGGGGUUCUGAGAGGAAGGUCCCCCACAUUGGAACUGAGACACGGUCCAAACUCCUACGGGAGGCAGCAGUGAGGAAUAUUGGUCAAUGGGCGAGAGCCUGAACCAGCCAAGUAGCGUGAAGGAUGACUGCCCUAUGGGUUGUAAACUUCUUUUAUAAAGGAAUAAAGUCGGGUAUGGAUACCCGUUUGCAUGUACUUUAUGAAUAAGGAUCGGCUAACUCCGUGCCAGCAGCCGCGGUAAUACGGAGGAUCCGAGCGUUAUCCGGAUUUAUUGGGUUUAAAGGGAGCGUAGAUGGAUGUUUAAGUCAGUUGUGAAAGUUUGCGGCUCAACCGUAAAAUUGCAGUUGAUACUGGAUAUCUUGAGUGCAGUUGAGGCAGGCGGAAUUCGUGGUGUAGCGGUGAAAUGCUUAGAUAUCACGAAGAACUCCGAUUGCGAAGGCAGCCUGCUAAGCUGCAACUGACAUUGAGGCUCGAAAGUGUGGGUAUCAAACAGGAUUAGAUACCCUGGUAGUCCACACGGUAAACGAUGAAUACUCGCUGUUUGCGAUAUACAGCAAGCGGCCAAGCGAAAGCGUUAAGUAUUCCACCUGGGGAGUACGCCGGCAACGGUGAAACUCAAAGGAAUUGACGGGGGCCCGCACAAGCGGAGGAACAUGUGGUUUAAUUCGAUGAUACGCGAGGAACCUUACCCGGGCUUAAAUUGCAGAUGAAUUACGGUGAAAGCCGUAAGCCGCAAGGCAUCUGUGAAGGUGCUGCAUGGUUGUCGUCAGCUCGUGCCGUGAGGUGUCGGCUUAAGUGCCAUAACGAGCGCAACCCUUGUUGUCAGUUACUAACAGGUUCCGCUGAGGACUCUGACAAGACUGCCAUCGUAAGAUGUGAGGAAGGUGGGGAUGACGUCAAAUCAGCACGGCCCUUACGUCCGGGGCUACACACGUGUUACAAUGGGGGGUACAGAGGGCCGCUACCACGCGAGUGGAUGCCAAUCCCCAAAACCUCUCUCAGUUCGGACUGGAGUCUGCAACCCGACUCCACGAAGCUGGAUUCGCUAGUAAUCGCGCAUCAGCCACGGCGCGGUGAAUACGUUCCCGGGCCUUGUACACACCGCCCGUCAAGCCAUGGGAGCCGGGGGUACCUGAAGUGCGUAACCGCGAGGAGCGCCCUAGGGUAAAACU
rnacentral:rRNA from 1 species